CCCGGCUUCGCUAGUGAGGGCGGAAGUGCUUCGGACAGUACCAGGCGUGUGCGACUCCGCGCGUCACGCCGUGGAGACAGCAAAGACAGACCAAAGUGACUUUGCUAAGAUGGCGGCCCUUCACCUGUUGAUGUCCUUUCUCUCGGUCAGCUGAGACCCAAAGAGCACCAGGUAUCCAGAGGCAGAAUGAGGAGGCGGUGAACUCCCGACAUAGGAGCCACCGAGGAAGAGACCAACCGUCCCGCUGGAGGCCAGUGCCCUGGAUCCCCGAGUACUUGGAGGCAGCGAUGUAAGGGCAGCACAAGAGCAGGACCAAAGGCAGUGGGAGUAACCCAAGGCCGGGGUGUGUGGGGCAAGGGACGGGAUGAAGUACACUUGAAGGAAGACAGCAACCAGUGCCAAGGGGACGACUUGGGUAAGAACUCAGAGGCGGGAGGAUUGGAAGGAGUCCUCAGGGUGAAAAAGAGGGGUUGAGGCCUCAAGGCAGCUGAAGACGCCACUGACAAAAGAGCAGAUGGUCUUGGCCACUUGGGGGCUGAGAGAAGGGCAGGGAGGGUCAGCAGAGAGCUCCACAGAGGCCCGAGGCUGCUGCCCCCACCAGUUGGCCUGGCUUUGCCUUUCAUUCCAUUGUCACUGACCAACCUGAAUUUCCUUUUGUUGAAAAAAAGGUGGUGUUUAGGUAGGCGUUAUACUUGGAAACAGCCGAUGAUUUUGGCUAUAGCCUCAUGCCCUCUUGAGAAGCCUGCACUAGGUGGGUCCUAGACAUGGCACAUGACAGGUGCCAAUUACAUCAAGCCCCGGCCUGAUACAAAGCCUCCCAGAUGAAAUCUAUAAUCCCUGUAAUUAGGUAACUCCUGCAGACAAGGUGGGGACCUUUGAGGGCCCCAGCCUCAGUCACGCUUCUGAAAGCACCCCUCCUCCAACAGUAGGAAUAGCCAUUCCUACUGAUGCCCUGGUUAAGAGGACAAAGGGCACUCACUCCUGUUUAGGUCUCAGAGACGGGCACUGCCCCAGGAUGGACUGACUGGUUGGGAGCCUCUGAGGAUACGGCUUUCAGUGCCUGGAGCUACCCCCAAGAUACCCCCAAGGUUGGCCAAGACCCUUGCUGGACCUGUUACAUGUGGAAACUCCACAUGUGCAUCUGCGUGGCUGAAGAAAAGCAUUAUUCUUGAACGCCUGCCUCCGGUUAGAGAAGAGAAUUUUCUAGACAACAGGACCCUGGAAUCCACCAUUUGGGGAGAGAAGGCCGUGAAGGCACACGUGCAUGUGGGUUUUGUGCUUGUGGGUAAUAUACGAUAAUAACAAAUGAUAAACAUAGUGUGCACUAUAUGCCAGGUACUGUGGUGAGCGCUUUAUAAUCAUGGUCUCAUCUGGUCCUCACAACAAGGUCCCUGCGAGGUGGGUGCUGUCCUUAGCCCCAUUUUACAGUUGAGGACACUGAGGUAGACAGAGGGAAAGUGACUGCCCUAGGAUGACAGAGACCGGAAGUGUCUGAGGGCACACCGACUCCAGGCCAGCUGCUCUGUGGCGCCCCCUAGCAGUGUGUCGACACAUACACAGGGGUGUAUAAGCAGGUGCCCACG